GCCCGGAUGGCGGAAUUGGUAGACGCGCUGGACUCAAAAUCCUGUGACAGCAAUGUCGUGCGGGUUCGAUUCCCGCUCUGGGCA
rnacentral:tRNA from 1 species